rnacentral:rRNA from 1 species
GACGAACGCUGGCGGCGUGCCUAAUACAUGCAAGUUGAGCGCUGAAGGUUGGUACUUGUACCAACUGGAUGAGCAGCGAACGGGUGAGUAACGCGUGGGGAAUCUGCCUUUGAGCGGGGGACAACAUUUGGAAACGAAUGCUAAUACCGCAUAAAAACUUUAAACACAAGUUUUAAGUUUGAAAGAUGCAAUUGCAUCACUCAAAGAUGAUCCCGCGUUGUAUUAGCUAGUUGGUGAGGUAAAGGCUCACCAAGGCGAUGAUACAUAGCCGACCUGAGAGGGUGAGCGGCCACACUGGGACUGAGACACGGCCCAAACUCCUACGGGAGGCAGCAGUAGGGAAUCUUCGGCAAGGGACGAAAGUCUGACCGAGCAACGCCGCGGGAGUGAAGAAGGUUUUCGGAUCGUAAAACUCUGUUGGUAGAGAAGAACGUUGGUGAGAGUGGAAAGCUCAUCAAGUGACGGUAACUACCCAGAAAGGGACGGCUAACUACGUG